AUUGAACGCUGGCGGCAUGCCUUACACAUGCAAGUCGAACGGCAGCGCGGGGCAACCUGGCGGCGAGUGGCGAACGGGUGAGUAACAUAUCGGAACAUACCCUAGAGUGGGGGAUAACGUAGCGAAAGUUACGCUAAUACCGCAUACGCACUAAGGUGGAAAGUGGGGGAUCUUCGGACCUCAUGCUCAUGGAGUGGCCGAUAUUUGAUUAGCUAGUUGGUGAGGUAAAGGCUCACCAAGGCGACGAUCAGUAGCUGGUUUGAGAGAACGACCAGCCACACUGGAACUGAGACACGGUCCAGACUCCUACGGGAGGCAGCAGUGGGGAAUUUUGGACAAUGGGGGCGAACCCUCGAUCCAGCAAUGCCGCGUGAGUGAAGAAAGGCC
rnacentral:rRNA from 1 species